rnacentral:misc_RNA from 1 species
CUUCUCCUCAGUCCACCGCACAUCCUCCUUUGGUGGUUUUUGGCCGGAUUUCUUAAUCCGGCCUUUUUUUUGGUCAAC